AUGCACUGGACACAUGAGGAAAUGAGUAUCUCUAGUGUCCCUGAAACACCUUCACAGAUACCCCAGAAAUGGGCAGGUGGUCCUCAAAGCAAGAUACAAGGCAUACAGUCCCUUGCUUUCUGGUUCUGAGUAGAGACUCUAUUUCUACACUUCCUUAAAAGCUUGGCAGUUUUUAAUUUGAUGUAAGCAACCAAUGCUGUUAGAAUUACACUGAAAACAGGAGCAAACUGUCUUGAAGGAAAAUAAAGAUAUUUUCUCCCUGGUGAGUAAAACCAUGAAUACGAUAUGUGAAUCUUACUAUUAUUAUUUUUUUUCCUACUUAAUGGUUUUGUUCUUGUUUGGCUGGGUUUUGUUUCUUAAUUUGUUUACAUACUGAUCUUGGUAAGGGAGCAACAUUUGCCACCCCAAAAUGUCUCUUUGGAGGGUGGAUUAUUUAGAAAUGAGAAUAAUCAAGGCCCAAAAGACUAAGGAAGAAACUUUGAAAUCCCCCCUAACUGCCUAAAUGAAUGUAUAGGUAAAGGGUCUGUUCCAGGAAGCUAUCCCCAUAGAAAACUACAGUAUAAACUGGCUGUGCAGACAGGGAGGAACUCACCAAAGUCUGUCUGUUAACAUUUCUCUCUGUGUCUCAAGCUGUCUCUGUGUGGCCCAACAAAUAUUCAUCUACAAAACCCUUGCUUUUCUAUCUCCAUGUCAAUUGCCUUUCUCCCCUUUGAAGUCCCAAACCCUUCCCACAAUGUACUCUUUUGUCUUUAGCUGAAGAUGGAAUUUAAAGUGCGGAUUUUGGCCAUUUAGGUGAGUUACUCAGUUUUCCUGGGCUUCUCUCAUGUAAACAUGUCAUUGAACUUUUGUAUGAUUUUCUUCUGUUAA
rnacentral:lncRNA from 1 species